rnacentral:rRNA from 1 species
GAACGAGAAGCUGACUUCUGAUUCCUUCGGGAUGAUGAGGUUGGCAGAAAGUGGCGAACGGGUGAGUAACGCGUGGGUAAUCUACCCUGUUAAGUGGGGGAUAACCCUCCGAAAGGAGGGCUAAUACCGCAUAAUAUCUUCUCCUCUGAAAGAGGUAAAGAUUAAAGAUGGCCUCUAUAUUAUGCUGUCGCUUCAGGAUGAGCCCGCGUCCUAUUAGUUAGUUGGUGGGGUAAUGGCCUACCAAGGCGACAAUGGGUAGCCGGUCUGAGAGGAUGUACGGCCACACUGGGACUGAGAUACGGCCCAGACUCCUACGGGAGGCAGCAGUGGGGAAUAUUGCGCAAUGGGGGAAACCCUGACGCAGCGACGCCGCGUGGAUGAUGAAGGCCCUUGGGUUGUAAACCCCUUUUCCCAGGGAAGAAAAAUGACGGUACCUGGGGAAUAAGCCACGGCUAAUUACGUGCCAGCAGCCGCGGUAAGACGUGAGUGGCGAGCGUUAUCCGGAUUUAUUGGGCGUAAAGUGGGCGCAGGCGGCUUUUCAAGUCGGAUGUAAAAUCUCCCGGCUCAACUGGGAGGCACCGUUCGAUACUGUAAGGCUAGAGGGCAGCAGAGGGAGGUAGAAUUCCCGGUGUAGUGGUGGAAUGCGUAGAUAUCGGGAGGAACACCAGUGGCGAAGGCGGCUUUCUGGUCUAUCUCUGACGCUGAGGAGCGAAAGCUAGGGGAGCAAACGGGAUUAGAUACCCCGGUAGUCCUAGCUGUAAACGAUGGAUACUAGGUGUGGGAGGUAUCGACCCCUUCUGUGCCGCAGCUAACGCAUUAAGUAUACCCGCCUGGGGAGUACGGUCGCAAGGCUGAAACUCAAAGGAAUUGACGGGGGCCCGCACAAGCGGUGGAGCAUGUGGUUUAAUUCGACGCAACGCGAAGAACCUUACCGGGACUUGACAUUAUCUUGCCCCUUUAAGAAAUUAGAUUUUCUUCCUUUCGGGGAAGACAGGAUAACAGGUGGUGCAUGGUUGUCGUCAGCUCGUGUCGUGAGAUGUUGGGUUAAGUCCCACAACGAGCGCAACCCUUGUGCCUAGUUGCUAACUUGUUUUACAAGUGCACUCUAGGCAGACUGCCGCAGAUAAUGCGGAGGAAGGUGGGGAUGACGUCAAAUCAUCAUGCCCCUUACGUCCCGGGCUACACACGUGCUACAAUGGCCUGUACAGAGGGUAGCGAAAGAGCGAUCUUAAGCCAAUCCCAAAAAGCAGGCCCCAGUUCGGAUUGGAGGCUGCAACUCGCCUCCAUGAAGUAGGAAUCGCUAGUAAUCGCGGAUCAGCA